rnacentral:siRNA from 1 species
ACAAGAGCAGGUCAAGUUUUGC